GCGGCUCCCUGCUGUCCCAUUGCCUUCCAGGUGGCGGGCGUGGACAGAGCUGUGUGAGCUUCCUGUGAAUCUCAGCCACCUGCCUUCUGCCUCUUCAUCCACACCUGGUGAUGGCAGAGGAUGCCGUCGUCACUGCUCCCCCUCCCAUGGGCACUUCGUAAGUCCUGCUUGCCAUAGUCAGUAUGGUGGAGGGCCCGAGGCGAGGACUGCAGUGCUGUCUCUUGAACCUGAGAAGCACCCAUUGAGUGCCAGCUGGGUGCCGAGUGCCCUGGCCGACACGGGGCUCACAGAACUGAAUACGGAACCCUGGCCUGCGACCGGCUCACUGAUUUGUUCAGCCUUAAACUGGAACAUUAAAAGCAAACAGAAGAGUUUCCUUAAGAGACUGAGCUGUCAAGUGCAUUUUGCUGAUCUUCUGGAAAAAAAGAAAGGAAACGUGGACUCUUCGGUGUCAUUCUCUAAAGCCCUGCAGUUGACCUUAGGCUCUUCAGUGCAACAUGUUGUCUUGAGGCUCUGUGCUGUACCACGUAGGGGUCGAGGAUCUUGUCGAGCUGAUUCAGCGUCGGAUGAGGCAGGCUGGUACUUGAAAGGUAAACUCACCUGACCAAGCUCACAGGGUAAGUCAGUAAGUAGGUGUGGGUCACAGAGUCGAAGCGGAACAGUUGGACACGACUUAGUGGCUGAACAACAACAACAAAAGGAAUCGACUACACACCCUUUAGGGCUCCCCUGGUGGCUCAGAGGGUAAAUCGCCUGCCUGCAAUGUGGGAGACCCGGGUUCAGUCCUUGGGUUGUGAAGAUCCCCUGGAGAAGGAAACGGUGACCCACUCCAGAAUUCUUGCCUGGAGAACCCCAUAGACGGAGGAGCCUAGUGGGCUACAGUCCACAGGGUCACAAAGAGCUGGACACGACUGAGCGACUUCACUUUCUUUCUUUCUUUGCACAGCCUUUAAGAGCUUCCCUGGUGGCUCAGUGGUAAACAAUCCGUCUGCCAAUGCAAGAGAUAUGAGUUCAAUCCCUGGGUUGGCAGCAUCACCACUGGGAGGCUGGCGGAGAUGCAGAAUCUUCAGGCUCUCUCAAGACCCUAGUCCUCCUGAGAAUCUUCAUUUUUACAAGGUGUUUGUUGGGUUGCACACUGGAGUUUGAACAAUACUGCCCUAGAGCACAG
rnacentral:lncRNA from 1 species